GCCCAGACUCCUACGGGAGGCAGCAGUGGGGAAUAUUGCACAAUGGGGGAAACCCUGAUGCAGCGACGCCGCGUGAGCGAUGAAGUAUUUCGGUAUGUAAAGCUCUAUCAGCAGGGAAGAAGAUGACGGUACCUGACUAAGAAGCCCCGGCUAACUACGUGCCAGCAGCCGCGGUAAUACGUAGGGGGCAAGCGUUAUCCGGAUUUACUGGGUGUAAAGGGAGCGUAGACGGCGAUGCAAGCCAGAUGUGAAAGCCCGGGGCUCAACCCCGGGACUGCAUUUGGAACUGUGUGGCUGGAGUGUCGGAGAGGCAGGCGGAGUUCCUAGUGUAGCGGUGAAAUGCGUAGAUAUUAGGAGGAACACCAGUGGCGAAGGCGGCCUGCUGGACGAUGACUGACGUUGAGGCUCGAAAGCGUGGGGAGCAAACAGGAUUAGAUACCCUGGUAA
rnacentral:rRNA from 1 species